rnacentral:rRNA from 1 species
AUACAGAGGGUGCAAGCGUUAAUCGGAAUUACUGGGCGUAAAGCGCGCGUAGGCGGUUGUUUAAGUCGGAUGUGAAAGCCCUGGGCUCAACCUGGGAACUGCAUUCGAUACUGGGCAACUAGAGUAUGCAAGAGGGAGGUAGAAUUCCAUGUGUAGCGGUGAAAUGCGUAGAUAUAUGGAGGAAUACCAGUGGCGAAGGCGGCCUCCUGGUUCAAUACUGACGCUAAGGUGCGAAAGCGUGGGGAUCAAACAGAAUUAGAAACCCCAGUAGUCC